UGCAUGAUCUUGUGUGUGUGUCAGACUCAGGAGGAGCCGGCGAGUGUGUGUUCUGUGGAGAACGGCUCACACGUGUACGAGCUGGAGCAGCACGCAGCAGAACACACACAUGAAGAGCCACCGCAGGAAGACCUGUACCAGAACACAGAGCCCGACACAGGAGCUCAGUCGUAUGAGUACACAGAGGAUGUGGGCAUCACUGCAGUGGCUCUGUAUGAUUAUCAGGCUGCGGGUGAUGAUGAGAUCUCCUUUGACCCAGAUGACAUCAUCACCAACAUUGAGAUGAUUGACGAGGGCUGGUGGAGGGGUGUGUGUCGCGGUGCGUACGGACUCUUCCCCGCCAACUAUGUGGAAGUCCGACAGUAGACACCUGACUUCCUCCCGCAGAACAUCCACCCUUCCUGUUUCCUGUUGCUUCACCGGUUCAAACUGCCAAUAGAGAUUUAACACGGAGAAAUCAUUCGGUCAGACUGGUGUGUGUGUGUGAGAAAGAGAGGGAGUGUGAGCGCGCACUAGUGUA